rnacentral:rRNA from 1 species
UACGAGGGGUGCAAGCGUUGUUCGGAAUUACUGGGCGUAAAGCGUGUGUAGGUGGUCAUGUAAGUCAGAUGUGAAAGCCUGGGGCUCAACCUCAGAAGUGCAUCUGAAACUAUUUGACUUGAGUAUGGGAGAGGGUAGCGGAAUUCCUGGUGUAGUGGUAAAAUACGUAGAUAUCAGGAGGAACAUCGGUGGCGAAGGCGGCUACCUGGCCCAAUACUGACACUGAGACACGAAAGCAUGGGGAUCAAACAGG